GACGAACGCUGGCGGCGUGCUUAACACAUGCAAGUCGAACGGAAAGGCCCUGCUUUUGUGGGGUUCUCGAGUGGCGAACGGGUGAGUAACACGUGAGUAACCUGCCCUUGACUUUGGGAUAACUUCAGGAAACUGGGGCUAAUACCGGAUCGGAGCUCCUGCUGCAUGGUGGUGGUUGGAAAGUUUCGGCGGUUGGGGAUGGACUCGCGGCUUAUCAGCUUGUUGGUGGGGUAGUGGCUUACCAAGGCUUUGACGGGUAGCCGGCCUGAGAGGGUGACCGGCCACAUUGGGACUGAGAUACGGCCCAGACUCCUACGGGAGGCAGCAGUGGGGAAUAUUGCACAAUGGGCGGAAGCCUGAUGCAGCAACGCCGCGUGCGGGAUGACGGCCUUCGGGUUGUAAACCGCUUUCGCCUGUGACGAAGCGUGAGUGACGGUAAUGGGUAAAGAAGCACCGGCUAACUACGUG
rnacentral:rRNA from 1 species